ACGAGAACAUCGAGCCGACGAAGGGACGCGCCCACCUCGUGCUCGAGAAGGGUGCGGACCACCGCGUCGCGCGCGUGCGUCUACGUCAGCUGUGACGGCUCUUCGGCCCGCACGCCGCGCAGGCCGAACCACGCGAGCUCGGAGAUCCAGCGGGCCAGGUGCUCGGCGUCGACGGCACUCGUCGACGGGUCGUCGGAGGUGUCGGAGGUGUGCCGGCCCACCGACUCGGCCAUGCCCACGAGCGCGUUCGCGAGCACGCGCCGGUGCUCGUCGGAUGCAGGGAUCUCGAUCAGCUCGGAGAUGACGUCGGCGGCAGCCUGCACGAUCUUGUCGACGACGCGUGCGAACUCGGGGUCGGUACGGAUGGACGCGCUGAACAGCAGCCGGAAGCCGGCGCGGCUGUCGGACACGAACCGGAAGUAGGCGAGGAACCCGCUCUCGACCCGCUCACGGCCCGACCGCAUGCCGUGGGUCGCGGCCGUGAGCGAGUCGAGCAGCUGGUCGCCGGUGUCGGUGAGCAGCUCGAUGUACAGCGACCGCUUGCUCGGGAAGUGCUGAUACAGCACCGGUUUGGUGACGCCCGCAGCUUCCGCGAUGUCGUCCAUCACCGUCGCGUGGAAGCCGCGCUGCGCGAACACCUCGCGCGCGACGUCGAGGAGUUGUUGACGGCGCUGGUCGGCGGGCAGUCGCAUCGCAGGGGUACGGGCCGGCGCGUUCAGACGCUCGACUUGAGCGGCAUCACGUAGCGGUCCUCGUGAUCGAAGUUCCGGGACCACAAGGCCUCGACGUCGCGCCGCUCGUUGUCGGUGAGUGGGAAGUCGGCCGCACCGGCGUACUCGCGGAUGUCGGCGACGGUCAGCACGCUCGGGAGAACGGUUGCGAACGCGGGGUUGGCGAGGAUCGCCGCGAUCGCAGCCUGCCCGAUGGUGCGGCCGGUCUCCGGAGCCCACAGGAACGAGAGCGUCUCCGCCUUCU
rnacentral:misc_RNA from 1 species